UAUCACAGGUGGGGCAUUUUGCUCACAGUCAUAUUUCUUUUCUGAUUCUUACAGAGGAUUUCUGUUUUCAGCAAUGCCUAUACAGCACUACCUGAGACACCUUGACUCAUUAAAAAAUUAAAUAGGAUAAAACGCAACAUGCUUAGCAGGCUCUGGAAAAAAUGCUGCUGCUUUAUUUGGAAGGGUAAGCACACUGGAGCUCACACAUGGCAGCGACAUUACUCCCUGAAGCCACACAAAUCCUCAGGGUCAAGAAUAAAUUCACAGCUUGUAUUGCUUGCCCAUCUGGUUUGGCCCACGAUGUGACUGUUGAUCCAGGAGUUGAAGAGAUGGAAACCAAAAUAAGAAGAAACAAAA